UUGAUUCUUUUCAAGAUCUUGGCUCAGUUCAUCAUACUGGGCUGUACCUGGAUUCUAGGACUGUACCAGACCAACCUUUUUUUUCAGGUCCUCUUCAUAGUCCUGAACUCCCAGCAAGGCACCUUCCUCUUCAUCGUCCACUGUGUGCUCAACAAGGAGGUCAGAGAGGAGUACAUCAAAUGGCUGACCCGCUCUUUCAACAAGCAGAGCGGAGGAUCAACGCAGAAAGAAGUAACAUCUGCCUCUGAGAACUUGGACAAGGCUGAAGAAAAGACCAAAUGAUGAAUGAAUGAAUGAAAUAGGUGUGAAAUAUUAUGUUAGAUUAGUAUAGAAAAGACAAAGUAGAAAAACUGAAGUUGUAUCUCCUUUGAUCCACCAUUCAUAUCCUACUAGUUUAGUAUUCAUAUUUUUAACAUUUAACCAUGCAUUUGUAACACGUACUUGUUUUAGAUAUGAUCACAGGAAAAAU